rnacentral:rRNA from 1 species
GACAGAGGGGGCAAGCGUUGCUCGGAAUCACUGGGCGUAAAGGGCGCGUAGGCGGCUGUUCAAGUCGAACGUGAAAACUCGGAGCUCAACUCCGAGCCUGCGUUCGAUACUGCCUCGCUUGAGUACUGGAGAGGAGACUGGAAUUUACGGUGUAGCAGUGAAAUGCGUAGAUAUCGUAAGGAAGACCAGUGGCGAAGGCGAGUCUCUGGACAGUUACGUGACGCUGAGGCACGAAGGCCAGGGGAGCAAACGGG